UCAGCUUGAUGGUGAGGUAAUGGCUCACCAUGGCUUCGACGGGUAGCCGGCCUGAGAGGGUGACCGGUCACACUGGGACUGAGACACGGCCCAGACUCCUACGGGAGGCAGCAGUGGGGAAUAUUGGACAAUGGGCGGAAGCCUGAUCCAGCAACGCCGCGUGAGGGAUGACGGCCUUCGGGUUGUAAACCUCUUUCGGUGGGGACGAAGCGCAAGUGACGGUACCCACUAAAGAAGCACCGGCCAACUACGUGCCAGCAGCCGCGGUAAUACGUAGGGUGCGAGCGUUGUCCGGAAUUAUUGGGCGUAAAGGGCUCGUAGGCGGUUUGUCGCGUCGGGAGUGAAAACCAGGUGCUUAACACCUGGCUUGCUUUCGAUACGGGCAGACUAGAGGUAUUCAGGGGAGAACGGAAUUCCUGGUGUAGCGGUGAAAUGCGCAGAUAUCAGGAGGAACACCGGUGGCGAAGGCGGUUCUCUGGGAAUGACCUGACGCUGAGGAGCGAAAGUGUGGGGAGCGAACAGGAUUAGAUACCCUGGUAGUCCACACCGUAAACGUUGGGCGCUAGGUGUGGGGUCCAUUCCACGGAUUCCG
rnacentral:rRNA from 1 species